ensembl:lncRNA
AGCGCAUCGUGGGCCCAGAGUGUGUCAUCGCUGUCAGAGACCAGGCCAUUUUGCGAGAGACUGUGACGGUGUGCGCAAUUCCCGCCCCCAGUUUUCUUCACCAGAUUCCAGGCCGUCUGCUAGGCAGGCAGAACCCAGCACGGCUCCGGAAAACUAGCACCCACCAAACUGCAGAGCCACAGUUUAGGUGGGGCCCCUCAUGGCUCACGCCCUGUGUCUGGUGGGCUAGCUCAAGGCCCCAGACUGGUGUCGUCCUGUCCCUAUUUAGAGGUUCUCAUGGGAGGAGUCAAGGUGCCAUGUUUGAUUGACACCGGCUCUAUGGUUUCUACUGUUACAGAAAGCUUCUUUCAAAAACAUUUUGAACCUUGGGGUCAGGAGCGGCUCAAAGCCUGUAGCUGGUUACAGCUAAGGGCAGCUAAUGGGUUGAGCAUCCCGUACCUGGGUUAUUUGGAGCUCGAUGUUGAGUUGUGCGGUAAACUAGUUUCACUGUGUGGUAUCUUGGUGGUAAAAGACCCCCCUGGUAAUGCUUCUCUUCAGGCCCCUGGUGUGUUGGGAAUGAACGUGAUCCAGAAAUGUUAUCAAGAGCUCUUUGUGCAGCACGGUUUGUCCCUGUUUAAUCUGCCCUCUGUCACGCAGGCCCCACAACCUGUCACGCAGGCAUUACAGGAGUACCAUCAGGUGACCACGCAGACCUCCCAGGAGCUGUCUGGGAAGGCAAAGGUCAGAGGUAGGCGUGCCUGUCGUAUUGCAGGUGGUGUGAUGCAGAUAGUCGCAGCUACUUGCUCAGGGCAGGGUACCGAUAGCACAGUAUUGUUUGAGCCCCUUGACUCUGGUUUACCUGCAGGUUUGUUGGCUUCUCCAUCUGUGGUGAGGGUAGUUAGAGGUACAGCAUACAUACCCAUUGUAAACGUUGGCUCUAUAGAAGUACUGCUGUACCCACGCACUGUUCUUGGCACUUUACAAAAAGUGAGUGUUGUCAGCCUCCCUGCAGGAAUCGCAGAGGUUCCAUCCACUGUAGCCAUUGUAGCUUCUCACACCGCCUUACCUACCGUGCCAGACCAGAUUGAGGGUUUAGAUCUGUCUUCUCUUUCCCCUGAAGAGCAAGGUCAGACGAGACCCCAGUCACGCAACGCUACAGGCGUGUAUCCCCUUCUGAUUAUGAGGCUGUCAAAGACCACAUUAAUCAGCUUCUUUCUGCUCAGGUGCUGAGGGCCUCACUGGUGAUCCUGUUUGGUGAUGGUGUCCCUUCGUGUGUAGUGUCUUAUUCACUCCCCUCCUUUGCUUUGCCCUUGUGUGUUUGGAGUGUUAAUUUUGGAUUGUGGUGCUCCCAUUUUAAGUUUAUACUUUCACCCCUCACUCACCUUGAGCACAAAUGCCCCAGCCCUGGAAUACAUGAUAAUUUAUACAAAUAGGAUAACUUUUUAGAUUUGAAUUGUGCCCAAUAAACUGUUGUAUAUGCUUUUGGAAACACGUCUCUCGCCUGCUCAGUGUAACGAACUUGUGUUGUCCUUUUGUUUAGAUUUAGUAAUUUACCUUAUUCAUAGAUUUCUUUCUUUUCCCUGGGUGAUUUCUCCCAGGGUGGCGUUGCUGGUUUCCUUUAGUUUCUUUCUUUUUCCGCUAGUUAAAAACAUAGAUUAUUGGGGUAGUUCCUACCCCACCUCACGCUUGCCACACAUGCA